rnacentral:pre_miRNA from 3 species
UAAGGUGCAUCUAGUGCAGUUAGUGAAGCAGCUUAGAAUCUACUGCCCUAAAUGCCCCUUCUGGC